GACGAACGCUGGCGGCGUGCUUAACACAUGCAAGUCGAACGGAAAGGCCCUGCUUUUGUGGGGUGCUCGAGUGGCGAACGGGUGAGUAACACGUGAGUAACCUGCCCUUGACUCUGGGAUAACUUCAGUAAACCGGGGCUAAUACCGGAAAGGCGCUCCUGCUGUACGGGGGGGGUUGGAAAGUUUCGGCGGUUGGGGAUGGACUCGCGGCUUAUCAGCUUGUUGUUGGGGUAGUGGCUUAGCAAGGCUUUGACGGGUAGCCGGCCUGGGAGGGUGACCGGCCACAUUGGGACUGAGAUACGGCCCGGACUCCUUCGGGAGGCAGCAGUGGGGAAUAUUGCACAAUGGGCGGAAGCCUGAUGCAGCGACGCCGCGUGCGGGAUGACGGCCUUCGGUUUGUAGACCGCUUUCGCCUGUGACGAAGCGUGAGUGACGGUAAUGGGUAAAGAAGCACCGGCUAACUACGUG
rnacentral:rRNA from 1 species